GACGAACGCUGGCGGCGUGCUUAACACAUGCAAGUCGAACGGAGUGGCGAACGGGUGAGUACCACGUGGGUGAUCUGCCUUGCACUUCGGGAUCAGCUUGGGAACCUGGGUCUAAUACCGGAUAGUGCAAGAUUAGCUCGCGGCCUAUGAGCUUGUUGGUUGGGUAAUGGCCUACCAAGGCGUCGACGGGUAGCCGGCCUGAGAGGGGGUACGGCCACACUGGGACUGAGAUAGGGCCCAGAGUCCUACGGGAGGCAGCAGUGGGGAAUAUUGCACAAUGGGCGGAAGCCUGAGGCAGCGACGCCGGGUGGGUGAUGAAGGCCUUCGGGUUGUAAACUCCUUGCGACAGGGACGCGGUACCUGUAUAAGAAGCACCGGCUAACUACGUGCCAGCAGCCGCGGCAAUUC
rnacentral:rRNA from 1 species